rnacentral:rRNA from 1 species
GACGAACGCUGGCGGCGUGCUUAACACAUGCAAGUCGAACGGAAAGGCCCUGCUUUUGUGGGGUGCUCGAGUUGCGAACGGGUGAGUAACACGUGAGUAACCUGCCCUUGACUUUGGGAUAACUUCAGGAAACUGGGGCUAAUACCGGAUAGGAGCUCCUGCUGCAUGGUGGGGGUUGGAAAGUUUCGGCGGUUGGGGAUGGACUCGCGGCUUAUCAGCUUGUUGGUGGGGUAGUGGCUUACCAAGGCUUUGACGGGUAGCCGGCCGGAGAGGGUGACCGGCCACAUUGGGCCUGAGAUACGGCCCGGACUCCUACGGGAGGCAGCAGUGGGGAAUAUUGCACAAUGGGCGGAACCCUGAUGCAGCAACGCCGCGUGCGGGAUGACGGCCUUCGGGUUGUAAACCGCUUUCGCCUGUGACGAAGCGUGAGUGACGGUAAUGGGUAAAGAAGCACCGGCUAACUACGUG